AAUGACACGAUCACUCCCGCUGAGCGAGCAGAGCCACGGCCACGGGGAUGUCGUGUCUGUCC
rnacentral:pre_miRNA from 1 species